UACGGGGGGGGGCAAGCGUUGUUCGGAAUUACUGGGCGUAAAGGGUGCGUAGGCGGUUCGCUAAGUUGGAUGUGAAAACUCUGGGCUUAACCCAGAGCCUGCAUCCAAUACUGACGAGCUAGAGUUCUGGAGGGGGGUAGCGGAAUUCCUGGUGUAGCGGUGAAAUGCGUAGAUAUCGUAAGGAAGACCAGUGGCGAAAGGCGGGGU
rnacentral:rRNA from 1 species